rnacentral:rRNA from 1 species
AGUGAACGCUGGCGGUAGGCCUAACACAUGCAAGUCGAACGGCAGCACAGUAAGAGCUUGCUCUUACGGGUGGCGGGUGGGGGACGGGAGAGGAAUACAUCGGACUCUACUUUUUCGUGGGGGAUAACGUAGGGAAACUUACGCUAAUACAGCAUACGACCUACGGGUGAGAGCAGGGGAUCUUCGCACCUUUCGCGAUUGGAUGAGCCGAUGUCGGAUUAGCUGGUUGGCGGGGUAAAGGCCCACCAAGGCGACGAUCCGUAGCUGGACUGAGAGGAUGGUCGGCCACAUUGGAAGUGAGACACGGACCAGAGGCCUACGGGAGGCAGCAGUGGCGAAUAUUAGACAAUAGGCGCAAACCUUGUCCAGCGAGACCACGCGGGAGAAGAAGACGUUCGGUUCGUAAAGACGUUUUGUUGGGAGAAAACAGCAUCAGCUUGAUACGACGCGUUAGUGACGGUACCCGAAGAAUAAGCACCGGCUAACUACGUG